CACCUUCUACAGAACCCCUCAUCCACCACCUCAAGCAAGAGCAUACGCUAAAAUCAUCAAAUGGCCCGAUAAGCAGGAAUUCUCCAUCCUUUUUCUUCUUGCCCAUUAGCAAUAUUCUUGAAACUUGACUCUUUGGGAUUCUUAUAUGAUACCACUUAAUUUCUCAAAUCCUGUUUCUCAGACCCUCCUAGUCCACCUUUUCACUAAACAAGGGCAUUUCCCCAAAUUCAAUCCUUGGUGUGUUCUCUCUACUUCUCUAUUCUCCCUCCUCCAGAGGUAACAUCUGAUGUUUCAAUUUUGGCAGUUACCUGAGCAAGUGAUCCUGAUAUGUAGGUGCUGUUGGCCUCCAGUCUCACACAUCAACUCACCAAUCAUGGAGAAGAAGUUAGAUGACUUCCUGUCACCUGUCAUUUGUGCAUUUUCUCCAAAUCCUCAAUCCCUUCCAUUUAAAUCCUGGCCCAGCAAAGAGAAGGGCUCUGGACCUGAGAUCAUCCAUCAUGGACAACCUCUCUGCCAAGAAAAGCCCAGGGCUACUUCCUUAGGAAGGGUCUUUGGACCAGGGCAUUUCAGCAAGAAGGGGAAAAUUGGACAUGACUGGCACUUAAACAAACCCAACAGGUGCAGACUGUAAAUUGGCAAAGUGACAUCAUCAGUAGAAAAUCAGACUACAGAAAUCGAGAAGCUUGGCAUAGCCCUUCUCUUUCCAGUCCACUUGACCUGGUGCUAACCACACAACUGCCUUAAGCCUUAAUUUUCUCAUGGAGAUGGAAAUGGGUUAUUGGGAAAUUCAAAUCAGAUAAUUUACGUGAAAAUAUGUUAUAAUCUCUGAGAUGUAAAGCGUGACCACCAGAGUUUAAAAAGAAUAGAAGCAAGAAGACAAGCUGAGUCACUAACUUGCCAGGGAAGUGAACACACUCCAGGGAAGAAAUUCACUCAAUGGUGAGUAGAAAAUGCACCACGUUCAAGGCUUUUUUUAUUAUAACAUCCAACAUCUUUGACAAAUUACAAAUAGAACAUAGUGGUUGAUUAAGUAAGCGGUGCUAUGGUGACGGUAAAAGCUAUCCACUAAUCUUUUCAUAAAAGACAAAUGGCAAAGUGGGGAUUUCUUUUAACAAAGAAUCAAGAGGGCCUUUAGAAACUGAAGAAUCAGAUUGUAAAGUCGGAAGCAUUGGUCUCUGUAACUGUAAUCUCC
rnacentral:lncRNA from 1 species